GGAAAGGGCGGGGCUAGGGCGGGCCGCGAGGGGGCGCUGUUCGCCCCGCACCGCCUCUCCCUGAGGGCACGCCCAUGGAGCCGGGAGUGCCCGUGUGGUUGGUGUCCGGCAGCAGCGUUGUUCGGUUCUCUAGGGAAUCUUUGGGACGAGCAAUGCCUGCGGGACAGGGGCUCCGUACACUCGUGCAAUAAGUGGAAAACCGAGCCCUGCAGGAAGGAGAGAAAGCAAAGAAAAUUAAGCUAAUAAACCUGACAGAAGACCCUUAUCAAUCAGUCGAUCGAUCAAUCAAUCAAUCAAUCAAUCAAUCAAUCCAGUUUCAUCAGAAAAUGGGUUUUUCCAGUACCUACCUAGGAAAACCAAGGCAAGUUCACCUUCAGUAUAUCAAUGUUCCUAAACAGAUCCAGAUGACCACAGAGGGUUUACCCUUUGAAGGAAGGCAGUACUUCAGCUCCAGCAGCUGUGAGGCAUUAUAUUUUCAAAGAUAUUCAGAAUCAUGUGUGGUCCUAAAGAAUUUAUAGCAUAGCUUUCCUGGAGGUCAAUUUUGAUAACCAGCCUCUAUCAGAUUGACAGAUGGGGCUGUAGAAAUACCUACCUUGAAGGCAGCUCUUCUGCAGAAAGUAUGUCAGUCUUACCUACUGUUAUAUAAAUGACCUCCCUUGCAAAGCAAGUGUCACAGUGGUUUGGAACAUAUUGUUUUGAAAAUAGUAUCUGCAGAUACUGUCUUGCCCCUUCUG
rnacentral:lncRNA from 1 species